rnacentral:tRNA from 1 species
GGGCCCAUAGUUUAAUGGAAAAACGACGCGUUUGCAACGCGUAGAUGGCAGUUCGAUUCUGCCUAGGUCCACCA